rnacentral:rRNA from 1 species
GAUUUCUGGGCUCAAGAAUUUGGCCGGCCACGGUUUCGUGUGUUAGUGCUUUGUUCUGUGUCCAUCCUUCCAAUUGCUAUUGGCUAUUCUUCAUUGAUUGGUCAGUAGUAUUGGAUCUUUUACUUUGAAAAAAUUAGAGUGUUUCAAGCAGGCUUUAUGCUAUGAAUACAUUAGCAUGGAAUAAUAAUCUAGGACUUUCGGUUCUAUUUUGUUGGUGUUCUGGAGCUGAAGUAAUGAUUGAUAGGGAUAGUUGGGGGUGCUAGUAUUCAAUGGCCAGAGGUGAAAUUCUCGGAUUCCUUGAAGACUAACUUAUGCGAAAGCAUU